rnacentral:rRNA from 1 species
UACGUAGGGGGCAAGCGUUGUCCGGAAUCAUUGGGCGUAAGCGCGCGUAGGCGGCCCGGUAAGUCCGCUCUGAAAGUCCAGGGCUCAACCCUGGAAAGCGGGUGGAUACUGCCGGGCUAGAAUCCGGAAGAGGCGAGUGGAAUUCCUGGUGUAGCGGUGGAAUGCGCAGAUAUCAGGAGGAACACCAAUAGCGAAGGCAGCUCGCUGGGACGGUAUUGACGCUAAGGCGCGAAAGCGUGGGGAGCAAACAGG